GGGGGCGUAAUGGUUUCGACGGAGAUAUUGAAAUUACGGAAGCGAGCAGAGGCGGGAACCUCUCAAAAACUCCCACACUAAAUUAAACGCUGACAAUCAAGUAGCGUACGCAGCCUAAUUAGGCUGCCGCUUUCCCCGUGAGGACCACGGCACGGAGCAAAGCGUCAUGCAGUGGUGAACGUGAUUUGGGUAAGCUUUGCCCCAGACAUGACAAAUGAAGCUACCGACUCGAUGCAGGUUGCCGAAGACCGGCAUUGAUAGGGAAUAACUAAACUUCGGCUGCGCUCGGAGAUGCCGUGACGGAUGUAUUUUCGGACAGGAGUUCAAUUCUCCUCGCCUCCACCA
rnacentral:tmRNA from 1 species